GGAAAAGUGGCCGAGCGGUCGAAGGCAGCACGUUGGAAGCGUGUAGGCGCAGUAAUGCGUCCAUCGGUUCGAAUCCGAUCUUUUCCGCCA
rnacentral:tRNA from 1 species